rnacentral:lncRNA from 1 species
CUCUAGUGUCUGAAGACACAGAACUCAUACACAUCAAAUAAACAAAUCUUUUUUUUUUUAAGGAUCUUUGGGACACAGAACUCUUAAAUUACUGUGGAAAUAACCUCCUGGCUGGGGUACAGUCCCUUAGAUGAACGGUAUCUUAAGGGUGCUUUAAACAAGACCCUUCUCAACUUUGCCAGACCACACAUCAAAUUCUUCUUGUGAACUAAAGGCAAACGCUUUGUCCUCUUGUGC